UGGAUUACAUCUUCAGAGUCUGCCAGGC
rnacentral:piRNA from 1 species